rnacentral:rRNA from 1 species
CCCUUAGAUGUUCUGGGCUGCACGCGCGCUACACUGUCGGAUUCAGCGAGCCAUAUCCUUAACCGAAAGGUUUGGGUAAUCUUUUGAAAGUCCGACGUGAUGGGGAUUGAUCAUUGCAAUUAUUGAUCAUGAACGAGGAAUUCCUAGUAAGCGCGAGUCAUCAGCUCGCGUUGAUUACGUCCCUGCCCUUUGUACACACCGCCCGUCGCUACUACCGAUUGAAUGGUUUAGUGAGAUCUUCGGAUUGGCGCCUACGCGGCUUCUCUGAGGCCACGCUGGAUGCCGAAAAGUUGCUCAAACUGUAUCAUUUAGAGGAAGUAAAAGUCGUAACA